rnacentral:ncRNA from 1 species
CGUCUCCUCCAACUCUCUACUAGAAUUGGAUUCAAGCCGGCCGAUAGCCGGCUUUUUUUUU